rnacentral:rRNA from 1 species
CACUGCACAAUGGGCGCAAGCCUGAUGCAGCGACGUCGCGUGAGUGAAGAAGUGUCUAGGUAUGCAAAGCUCUAUCAGCAGGGAAGAAAAUGACGGUACCUGACUAAGAAGCCCCGGCUAACUACGUGCCAGCAGCCGCGGUAAUACGUAGGGGGCAAGCGUUAUCCGGAUUUACUGGGUGUAAAGGGAGCGUAGGCGGUUCAGCAAGUCAGAAGUGAAAGCCCGGGGCUCAACUCCGGGACUGCUUUUGAAACUGUUGAACUAGAUUGCAGGAGAGGUAAGUGGAAUUCCUAGUGUAGCGGUGAAAUGCGUAGAUAUUAGGAGGAACACCAGUGGCGAAGGCGGCUUACUGGACUGUAAAUGACGCUGAGGCUCGAAAGCGUGGGGAGCAAAC